rnacentral:lncRNA from 1 species
UGCCACCCUAUGAAGAGGUGCCUUCUGCCAUGAGGCCUCCCCAGCCAUGCGGAACUAUGUUUGGGCAGCUUGUUUUCAGGGGAGUGAAUACAUCUUGGAAGUAUGCUUGCGGAAUGCAAUUCAGGUGAAGAAUGCACUAUCUCUAUUGGGAUUUGGCUGAAGGAUAUUCCCCCUUCGCCUUAUGUCCUGCCCGCUUCUGUUAUGAAGACAAUUGCUCCAGGGUAGCCACACUCUUGGGGGCUGCCAUUUCCUGGCCUGGGUGUCCUCAAGGUCCAUAGAGCGGUUCUAAGUAGGAGGUUAUGCGGGACCAGCAAGAGAUGGCGAAACACUUGGGGAUAGUAUGAGCAGGUAGCUGUUACCAACUCCUAGGUCUGCAGAGGUAAGGAAAAGAAAAAUAGAUAAUUAUAGAAGCGCUUCCUGCCAGGAGCUGCAGCCUUCAAGAGAAGCACACAGCUGUGCCAAUCCAUGGCCCUACAGGAAGGGCACCAGGGAAGUAGAUAGAGUGGGCUCUUUCCUCCCACACUUCCAUCUCCUGCCAGAGCCUCAUGGGCUGAACCCAACUGAGACCCAGAGGAAGAGGAAACCCAGCUGAAGCCCAUAGAAGAAAGUCUCUGAGCCAUCAAGCAGAGUGGAGAAAGCUGGAAAAUAAACCUCAGGAGGAACCAGAGAAUAUUUAGGGCAGAUGACAGUAGUACUUUUAUUUACUAAUAUUUACAUAAAAGGUGCAAAAAUGUAAAUAUCAGCACCACAUUUUUCCAAUAGUUUUCUAUAAGACAAUUGUUUCACUAAAGGUUUGUUGGGAAAGGGAUUCUGUGUUCAAAUAAAUUUG